rnacentral:rRNA from 1 species
AUUGAACGCUGGCGGCAGGCCUAACACAUGCAAGUCGAGCGGAUGAAGGGAGCUUGCUCCUGGAUUCAGCGGCGGACGGGUGAGUAAUGCCUAGGAAUCUGCCUGGUAGUGGGGGAUAACGUCCGGAAACGGGCGCUAAUACCGCAUACGUCCUGAGGGAGAAAGUGGGGGAUCUUCGGACCUCACGCUAUCAGAUGAGCCUAGGUCGGAUUAGCUAGUUGGUGGGGUAAAGGCCUACCAAGGCGACGAUCCGUAACUGGUCUGAGAGGAUGAUCAGUCACACUGGAACUGGGACACGGUCCAGACUACUACGGGAGGCAGCAGUGGGGAAUAUUGGACAAUGGGCGAAAGCCUGAUCCAGCCAUGCCGCGUGUGUGAAGAAGGUCUUCGGAUUGUAAAGCACUUUAAGUUGGGAGGAAGGGCAGUAAGUUAAUACCUUGCUGUUUUGACGGUACCAACAGAAUAAGCACCGGCUAACUUCGUG